AACGCACGAGACCUGCGGACCUGCGGAAGGAUCAUUAUAGAGUGGUAAACCCCCCGUAAAAGGGGGGGACCUCCUGUCCUUUGUAGGCUCUUUUUUAAAAGGGCUUUUUUUAAUUUUCUGCUUCGGUGGGGUUAUCCCACCGGAACAACCUCAAAACUCUUAUCAAAAAAUCGUUCUGUCUGAGAACCUUUUAUAAUAAAAAAAAACUUUUAACAAUGGAUCUCUAGAUCGGAAGAGCAC
rnacentral:misc_RNA from 1 species